UGGGGAAUAUUAGUAAUGGGCGAAAGCCUGAACCUGCGACGCCGCGUGAGUGAUGAAGGUCGUAAGAUCGUAAAACUCUUUUCAGGGAUCUUAAAGCCUGUCUGUCAACAACAGGCAGGUCUGACUCUCCCUGGAAGAAGCCCCAGCCAACUACGUGCCAGCAGCUGCGGUAAUACGUAGGGGGCGAGCGUUAUUCGGAAUUACUGGGUGUAAAGGGUAUGUAGGCGGCCCUUCAAGUCGCGUGUCAAAGUCCAGUGCUCAACGCUGGGUGUGCGCGCGAUACUGACGGGCUUGAGGGCUGGAGAGGUGAGCGGAAUUCCCGGUGUAGUGGUAAAAUACGUAGAGAUCGGGAGGAACACCAGCGGCGCAGGCGGCUCACUAGACAGUUUCUGACGCUAAGAUACGAAAGCGUGGGGAGCAAACA
rnacentral:rRNA from 1 species